AGUGAACGCUGGCGGUAGGCCUAACACAUGCAGGUCGAACGGCAGCACAGUAAGAGCUUGCUCUUACGGGUGGCGAGUGGCGGACGGGUGAGGAAUACAUCGGAAUCUACUUUUUCGUGGGGGAUAACGUAGGGAAACUUACGCUAAUACCGCAUACGACCUACGGGUGAAAGCAGGGGAUCUUCGGACCUUGCGCGAUUGAAUGAGCCGAUGUCGGAUUAGCUAGUUGGCGGGGUAAAGGCCCACCAAGGCGACGAUCCGUAGCUGGUCUGAGAGGAUGAUCAGCCACACUGGAACUGAGCCACGGUCCAGACUCCUACGGGAGGCAGCAGUGGGGAAUAUUAGACAAUGGGCGCAAGCCUGGUCCAGCCAUACCGCGUGGGUGAAGAAGGCCUUCGGGUUGUAAAGCCCUUUUGUUGGGAAAGAAAAGCAGCAGGUUAAUACCCCGCUGUUCUGACGGUACCCAAAGAAUAAGCACCGGCUAACUUCGUG
rnacentral:rRNA from 1 species